rnacentral:misc_RNA from 1 species
AACGCACAUUGCGCCUUCCGUUACAGGGAGGCAUGCCUGUCUGAGCGUUAUUUAAAUCAAUAAACUUUUAUAAGUUUGUGUUGGGCCCUGUCACAAACAUGUGGGCAUCGCCUUGAAGCCAUCGGUCUUGUGAGCGGACGAGUUCCUUCAAGGAAGAACCGUUCUCGGACCCUAAAAUAUUUUAAAAUUAGCCUCAGAUCAGGUAGGGACACCGCCUGAACUUAA